rnacentral:sRNA from 1 species
UACGAUACUGACGCUGCUGGAUUCUC